rnacentral:lncRNA from 1 species
AAAGGGGCCAACACCGCAGGCAGCGUUGGGUGCAGACGCAACCUCCUACUUGAAAUCCUCGACGACGAAGUCCGGAUCCUGCUCUGAAGCAACAAAAUAGGGGUGAGUACAAAAGUACUCAACAAGUCCAACCCCAUCCACGGAGGGGGAUAUAGCAAGAUUAUGCACAAGAUACAACAAGGAUAUGGUUAAGGUUUAUUUGCAAUAAAGCUAGAUUUUGGACACAUGCAGGUGUUUAUUUCAAAGGAUUUUUGCAAGGCAUUUUCUUUAAUAACUAAAACAUUAAGUGGGGUUGAUCCUACACAAAGGAUCCAAGUUUUAUCGCUACCGGACUCCCCGUCUGCUGUAGCGCAUGGCACAACUGCCGGACUCUUCCAAAAUCCAACACACGCCAUAAAAACCAACCAUCUCUAAAUGCUAGUUAUGUGACCAAGCCGUAACUCGUCCAAUGCCGUGGACACGGCUACCCGGAUAGGUUUUAACUCUACAGAGGUUGUACACUUUUCCCACAAGUAGGGUACCACAGCACGAACCACCUUAGUGCCGGUGUGGAUCCUAACAAAGCCAUUACCCACCUUAGCCCAAACUGACUAGUCAACACAGAAGCACCCAAGGGGUUAACGACCCAUCCAUGAGGCCGAAACCAGGACUUAAGUCACCAAGAGCUUAAUCCAUUCCCAUGGGCUUCCGUCGCUCACCAGCACACCUGAAGCCUAGCAGUUUAGCUAGUGGGGUUUAUGCUAAGCCGUUGCCCAUACAACGGUCGAGUGGUUGCACGAUGGUUGAAUUAGGCAAGAUGACACAUCAACUCGGUCCUUAGCCAUGACAAGAUGGACAUCUCCCAACUUUUCUCAACCACUAAGGUACGAGCUCAACAACCCAACAUUUCACACAAGAAACGCCCAUCCAUCUCAUCCAUGCACCAUUUCUCUUUACACCCAAAAACCCAUCUCCUCAGUUGAACACACUCAUACAUUUUAUUUUCUGAAAGAAAACAAGUGUAGUCAUGAUUGAAUAUGAUUAACGAGUUCCUAAGCAUUCUAGCAGUAUUUGUCAUCUAAACAGAGCAACUCAUAUUUAGAGACAAAUAUAGGUCAACAAGGAAUAAUUGUAACAAUCAAGGGGUGGCUAUCCAACCAUGUCUUGCAAGUAAACAAUAUGCAUUUUAGAAAACAGGCCAAUAGUUUGUGUUUGAAAAACUAGGUAUUAAAUAUGCAUCAAAGGAUAAGGUUGGACUUGCCGUUCUCAAAGCCUUCCGGGAGCUCCUGCUCACGGUAUUGGUCCUCGGGCUUGGGCUCAUGGUCGAACUCCUCCUCGUGCUCCUCCUCGGGUACCCCGUGAUCUACAACACACAGAAAUGAGCACACAAUAAAUAAAAAGGAAAAAGAUUCUACCCGUUGAGCUCCGAACAGGAAAUUUGAACGGAAAAUAGGUAGGAAGGGUAUUUUCAUGAAAUUUGGAUAUGCCUUAGCGGAAAUAUAUGAGAGGAGGCCGUGGUCAAAUUUGGGAUCAAUUGGAGGAAGUUUGGCACAUGAAAUGACGGGUUAAAGGGGUGUUAGUGGCUUAAAACAAGGUUUAGGACUAAACCGCGAGAACCAGGGACCUAUUUGUAAUUAUUUCCGAGGGGUGGAAGGGCGUAUCCACGAAAUUUUUCUUAGAGAGGUGGGAGGGCCGGUUUGCAAAUAGGAGGACACGGGAGGGGCAGAUCAAAAUGAANNNNNNNNNNNNNNNNNNNNNNNNNNNNNNNNNNNNNNNNNNNNNNNNNNNNNNNNNNNNNNNNNNNNNNNNNNNNNNNNNNNNNNNNNNNNNNNNNNNNCAAUGGAUGGGGCGGCGGUGCUCGGUGGAGGUGGAGGUUGAGCCCUCGCGAGAGAGUAGGGGAAGGGCGGCGGUGAGGCUAGUGGCGGUGGUGAUGCGAAGAGCCGGGGCAUAUCCCCUUUUAUAGGCCGGCGAAGGGGUGGGAGGCGGCUGGCCGUGGUGAUGGUGGCCGGGACUUUUCUGGCCGGUGGCGUGCCGGCGUGGUGGCCCGGUUGGCGAGGAGGCACAGGGGGUGAUGACUUCGUGGGGAGGCGCGCCAGGAGGAGUGGCGUGGUGGCCGGCGGAUGGCGCGGUGCACAGGAGGCGGCGACGGGAUAGGACAGGCAGAGCGGCGCGUCACUAGCGCGGUGCGCAGGCGAGCCGAGCGGAGUGGGGCGGCCAGGCGCGGCCAGGUGCGCGGCGGGGCCCGAGGCGCGGCCAGGCGCGGUAGAGCCAGUGCGCGGCAGGCACGUGGGCCGGGUAGCGCCAGGCGGGCGGCGCCGGGGGAGUUGCGCCAGGAGUAAAAGAAGGAGAGAGAGAAGGAGGGGAGGAGGAGGGAGAAGAGGAGAAAGAAGGAAGAAGGAGAAAAAGAAGGAAGGAUAAGGAAGGGAAAGGAGAGGAAAAAGGAGGAAAAAGGGGAAAGUGGCAAAAAUUUCGGGAUUUGACCGGCACGCGUGACGGAUUGGACGGGCACGAGGCGAAAAUUACGGGGAAUGGAAUAAGUGGGUUGACGACGUCGGGGCCGGAAUGGAUAAUCCGAUGGGAAGGAAAAGAUUUGACUGGGCUCAACAGUCGAAAAAAUUUUGGAAUGUGUUUUUAACGAGUGAUUUAAUUUGGUAGAUUUUUACGGGCAUUACAAACCUACCCCACUUAAAUUGAAUCUCGUCCUCGAGAUUGGGCUGAAUUCUGAAAAGAUGGGGAAACUCCUUCUUUAAUGCAUCCUCGCGUUCCCAAGUGUCUUCUUCUUCACCAUGCCUACUCCAUUGGACUCUGCAAAUCCGCACUACUGAAUUCCUUGUCCUUCCGGUGACGGUGUCCAGAAUCUUGAUGGGUACCUCCUGAUAUCGUAGAUCUUUUUGCAAAUCUAUGGUUUCCACCGGUACUUGCUCUUCUGGUACUCUCAGACAUUUUCUUAGCUGGGACACAUGAAAUACCGGGUGUAUAUCCGACAUUUCUUCGGGUAGCUGAAUGCGGUAUGCUACAGCUCCAACUCUUUUUAACACCUGGUAUGGUCCAAUAUACCGAGGGGCUAACUUUCCCUGCACUUGGUGUUGGAGGUAUGCCCUAGAGGCAAUCAUAGAGAUGAUGAUAUUCCAUUUGUAUCCAUGAUCUGUAUAUUGUGUUCAUUGAAUAUCCAUUAAAGGCUACUUGAAUUGAUUGGAAAUUAUGUGAAUUGUAUGUGAAACUCUUUACUUGUAUGAUUAUUCUAAAGUUGUCCCUAGUCAGAGUUCAUGUGAGGACACACAUGAAUAUUAGACUAGCACAUGUAUUAGUUGAUGACUAUGUUUCACAAGUCAUGGACAUGGAGAUGUUGAACUAAUAAUGUGGACACAUGUGGAGACAUGUGCUAGGACUGACCCAACACGAGAAGUGGUUCUCUCUUUAAACAACAUAUACGCUUUGUCCUUAGACCUGAGAUUGUCGCAUGUAUUCAAGAUGUGGAUCGACCUACUUAGAGGCUAUCAAACGCUACACCGUAACAGGGUAGUUAUAAAGGUAGCUUUCGGGUUUGUCAAGAAGCAUGCUAUGAGACAUGGUCAAUCAAGAUGGGAUUUGCCCCUCUCUGAUUGGGAGUGAUAUCUCUGGGCCCCUCGAGUGAUCGGAUCCGAAAAUGCAUGGCCAUGCUACGUACGGUUAAGAGUUAACCUACAAAGGGAUUACGAAUCACAGGAUCGAGAAAGAGCGGUCGGCUUGAACCUAGACCAAAUAUCGUGAGGCAAAGGGAAUAGCAUGUAUAUUAUGUUGUGAUGGUUCAUCUGAUAUGAUCUUCGUGUGCGUAUAGGAGUUGGCACGUCUUGCUAGAGGCCGCUAUCCGAACUCAUAGGGUCACACACUUAAGGGGCUGGAAGCCCAAUUCGGAUCUGAUUCGAGUUGGAUUAGGUUUAGAAGUACUAAUGGGCCUCGGACCCAGAGGCCCGUCAGGAACCUCUAUAAAUAGAGGGGUGGGGGCGCCCUAGGGUUUACACCUUUUUGGCGAAUCACAUCGGCUGCACCUCCCACGCCCUUGCCUGUUGCAACUCGCGGAUCUAGCAGUCCGGCUUGCGACGCUUCCUCCCUGCAUGUGUGGAUACCUUGGAGGUAUUGCGCCUGCAGCACUUGGACGAGCAGCCGACGAGCCACGAUGAGCCGACGACGAGCCGCGGCACGAGGGCGAUCUUGCUGCACGUGGACGAGCUGCUGAGGAGCUGCUGGACGUUGACGUGAUCGACUACGUACGACUACGUUGAUCGACUACGUAUGACUACGUUGAUCAUCUUCGCUGCAUCGACACAAAUCUACAUCUUCCGCACCAGUAGUGUGUCGAGUGGUAAUCCCGUGAUCCUUAUACGGCAGUUCUUCCUGGUUUUACGCGGUAGAAAUUUUGAUUUGCGCUAGUGUAGCCUACCUCGUAUCCCCACAGUGGUAUCAGAGCCAUAGCUAUUUAGUUUUGGAUUCGGGAUGUGUGCAUAUGGAGAUAUGCGAGUUUUCAGUUUGGUCUAUGUCUUUGUUUCAUGCUCUUGCUGCAAUGGUAGUGUAACGACAUACUCCUACCGGUUGGUUUCCGCCAUCGGAGUUAAGUGAUACACGUAAAUCCAGUUGCAGUGAGCGAAGAUCAAUAUGAUUGGUCGAAUCGAAAUCUAGGGUCAUACGCCAAGCGCAUUAGAUGUGCAAAAGUAGAUGGGAUCUACUACCGGGGUCGGGAUUUUGCCGUAUGCGUAUGCUUCGGUAAAUCAGCCGUAACUUUUCGGUACGAUCUCGGAUCAGGGCGAAUUUUAUAUGAAAAUUAGAUUUCCCAAAUUCAGCUUGGAAGAUGGAGUUUUGGGCAUCCGAAGUUUGGAACGUUAGGACGCUUAACUCUGUUUUGCAGGAUGUAUGUUGCUUGUGAUCAGUAUGGCCCUUUGUGUAUGUGAUGCAUGUGUGUAACUCAUUCAUGACCUGCGUGUCGCGCGUACGGCAACACGAUAGGAGCCAUAUGUGUUGUCACUUUAUUGUAUUUAAUGGUCUGCGUACCAAUCUAUGAUGAUCCAAGCAACUAUGUAAUCUUCAUUACUAGCUUUUUACUAGCUAUUAGGCGUAAUAGCAUGUUCUAGUUCUUGGAGGACUCAUCAUCAGGAGGAUGGCGCACAUGAAACAUGGAGAUGGAGAUCACCAUGGUGAACAGAUUCUAUGGAGAUGGAGAUCACCAUAAGAAAACGGACCAUACUGUGUCACAACUGUGUGAAUGCUAUUCUGUUUGCUAGCGGUGAUGCUAAAGCUCACUAGUAGACUUGUUAGUUGUGGAUCCUAAAUCACUAAGUUUCAAUAGAGGGAUAUUUAUUUUAGUGGGAGUAGAUUCUGUUAAAAUAUUUUAAUGUGAUUUGCCCUAUCAUGGAUACGUUUGUCUUGGUGUAUUUUGCAUUACUUUUGUUGUAGAUUAAAUGGCACCUAGCAGCACUACACCGUUUGCUUUGCGUUCGGUCCUUGAGAAGGACAAGUUGAAUGGAACAAAUUACUCGGAUUGGAUCCGUAACCUGAGAAUUGUUCUCAGGGCUGAGAAAAAGGAAGAUGUUCUAGACAACCCACUACGAGAAGAACCUGCUGAUGAUGCACCCACUGCUAAGAAUGCUUACAAGAAAGCAUGUGAUGCUAACCUCGAAGUAAGCUGCCUUAUGCUUGCUUGCAUGGAACCCGAGCUGCAGAUGCAGUUCGAAACAAACCAUGAGGCGCACGAUAUGAUCGUGGCGCUUAGAGACAUGUUCCAAACACAGGCCAGGACUGAAAGGUUCAAUGUGUCUAAGGCCUUUGUGGAGAGCAAGCUAGCAGAAGGUGCAGCAGUAGGACCACAUGUAAUCAAGAUGGUUGGUUACACUCAACGGUUGGAGAAGCUGGGUUUCCCACUGGGCCAAGAGUUGGCCACUGAUUUCAUUCUUUCGUCUCUUCCACCUAGCUAUGGGAACUUCAUCUCGAACUACCAUAUGCAUGGGACGGAGAAGGGUCCGAAUGAGCUGUGUGGCAUGCUUAAAACAGCAGAGGCUGACAUCAAGAAAAGCGCUAGUACCAACCAUGUGAUGGCUAUACAGAACAAGCCUAGCUUUAAGAAGAAGGGCAAUUCUUGGAAGAAGAAGGGCAAGGCUGGAACGUCCAAGCCAAACCCAGCGCCCAAGGUUAAAGCUGGACCUGGACCUGCUCCAGACAAAGAGUGCUUUUACUGUCAUGAACUUGGUCAUUGGAAGAGAAACUGCAAGCAGUACCUAGCUUCGUUGAAGAAUGGCGGAAGUAAGAGUACUUCUACCUCAGGUAUGCUUGUUGUUAAUGUUAUAGACAACAUUUUUCUCGCUGAUACAAUUAUUAAUUCUUGGGUAUUUGAUACCGGAUCGGUUGCUCAUAUUUGCAAUUCGAUGCAGGGAAUGAUAAGAAGUAGAAGCGUGGAAAGAGGAGAAGUUGAUUUCGGCGUGGGCAAUAAUGCAAGAGUUGCUGCGUUGACCGUCGGGACGAUGCAACUCCACCUCCCAUCAGGAUUUAUUAUGGAGUUGAAUAAUUGUUAUUUCGUUCCUAGUCUAAGUCGAAACAUUUUGUCUCCUUCAUGCUUGAUGAAGGAUGGUUAUUCAUUUGCGAGUGAAAACAAUGGUUGUGUGAUCUCUAAGAAUGAUAUGUUUAUGGCUUUUGCACCCAUUGUGAAUGGAUUAUUUGUUUCAAAUCUUGAUGGUUCACCUGUCUGUAACAUAAGUGAUAAAAGGCCUCGGCCUAAUGAUUUGAGUCCUACCUACUUGUGGCAUCGUCGUUUGGCUCAUAGAAGUGAAAAGCGCAUGAAGAAGCUCCAUUCUGAUGGACUUCUAACUUCGUUUGAUUUUGAAUCAUACGAGACAUGUGAGGCUUGCUUGCUAGGCAAGAUGACCAAGACGCCUUUCACAGGAUUUUCUGAGAGAGCAGUAGACUUGUUGGAACUCAUACAUAGUGAUGCAUGCGGACCAAUGAGCACGACGGCUAGAGGAGGAUUCCAAUACUUCAUAACUUUCACUGAUGAUUUUAGUAGAUAUGGCUAUGUCUACUUGAUGAGGCACAAGUCUGAAACCUUUGAAAAGUUCAAGGAAUUUCAGAAUGAAGUUGAAAAUCAGCGUGGCAAGAAAAUUAAGGCCUUACGAUCUGAUUGUGGAGGCGAGUAUUUGAGCCACGAGUUUAGCAAUCAUCUAAAGAGUUGCGGAAUUUUUCCACAACUUACGGCGCCUGGAACACCUCAGAGAAAUGGUGUAUCUGAGCGAUGUAAUCAAACUUUGUUAGACAUAGUUCGAUCAAUGAUGAGCCAGUCGGACCUACCGUUGUCAUUUUGGGGAUACGCUCUAGAAACAGUAGCUUUCACACUUAAUAGGGUACCAUCUAAAUCCGUAGUUAAGACACCAUAUGAGAUAUGGACUGGAAAGGUUCCUAGUUUGUCUUUUCUAAAGAUUUGGGGAUGUGAAGUGUUUGUCAAGCGACUUCAGUCAGACAAGAUCACACCCAAGUCGGAUAAGUGCAUUUUCGUGGGAUAUCCAAAGGAAACUUUGGGAUAUUAUUUCUACAACCGAUUAGAAGGCAAAGUGUUUGUCGCUCGGAACGGGGUUUUCCUAGAGAAAGAGUUUCUCAAAGGAGAAAAGAGUGGAAAGAUAGUGCAUCUUGAAGAAGUUCAAGAUGAGUCGAUCGGGCAAGAAUCAAUGAGUGAUGCUAACGUAGCAGAACAAGUUGAGUGGCAAGAGAAGCACCGCCACAACCACGAAGGUCGGCAAGGCUUCGCGAAAUGCGGGAAAUAUUAUUGUUGGACAAUGAUGAGCCUGCGACAUAUGCAGAAGCAAUGAUGGACCCAGACUCCGAAAAAUGGCAGAGUGCCAUGCAAUCCGAAAUAGAGUCCAUGGGAGACAAUCAAGUUUGGAACUUGGUUGACCCGCCUGAUGGUGUUAAAGCCAUAGAGUGCAAGUGGAUCUAUAAGAAGAAAAAGGACAUGGAUGGAAAUGUUCACAUCUAUAAAGCACGACUUGUCGCAAAAGGUUUUCGGCAAGUUUAAGGAGUUGACUACGAUGAGACUUUCUCGCCCGUAGUGAUGCUUAAGUCCUUUCGGAUUAUUCUAGCUAUAGCUGCAUAUUUCGAUUAUGAGAUAUGGCAGAUAGAUGUCAAGACAGCUUUCCUGAAUGGAAACCUAGCUGAGGACGUGUAUAUGAUACAGCCUGAGGGUUUUGUCGAUCCGGAAAAUGCUGGAAAGGUAUGCAAGCUUCAAAGAUCCAUUUAUGGAUUGAAGCAAGCAUAUAGGAGUUGGAACAUUCGUUUUGAUGAAGUGGUCAAAGGGUUUGACUUCACCAAGAACGAAGAAGAGUCUUGUGUUUACAAGAAGGUUAGUGGGAGCUCUGUAGUAUUUCUAAUCUUAUAUGUGGAUGGCAUAUUGCUGAUUGGAAAUAACAAUCCUAUGCUUGAGUCCGUAAAGACUUCACUGGAAAAUAGUUUUUCGAUGAAGGACUUAGGGGAAGCGGCAUAUAUUCUAGGCAUUAAGAUCUAUAGAGAUAGAUCGAGAAGGCUUAUAGGAUUAAGCCAAGAUACUUACAUUGACAAAGUGUUGAAGCGGUUCAGCAUGGAAGAAGCAAAGAAAGGGUUCUUGCCUAUGUCACAUGGCAUACAUCUCAACAAGACUCAGUGUCCUUCGACUGCUGAUGAGCGGGAUCGCAUGAGUAGAGUGCCAUAUGCCUCGGCUAUUGGAUCUAUCAUGUAUGCAAUGAUAAGUACUCACCCAGAUUUUUCAUAUGCGCUAAGUAUGACAAGGAGACACCAGUCUGAUCCAGGUGAGAGUCACUGGACAACGGUAAAAAACAUUCUUAAGUACUUGAGAAGGACUAAAGAUAUGUUCCUCGUCUAUGGAGGUGAGGAGAAGCUCGUUGUAACAUGUUACACCGAUGCUAGUUUCCAAACCGACAGAGAUGAUUCAAAGUCACAAUCAGGAUUUGUGUUCACGCUAAAUGGUGGUGCUGUUAGUUGGAAGAGUUCCAAGCAGGAGAUGGUGGUCGAUUCUACGACAGAAGCCAAGUACAUUGCAGCUUCGAAAGCCGCGAAGGAAGGUAUUUGGAUAAGGAAUUUCCUCAUUGAGCUUGGUGUGUUCCCGAAUGCGUCCAGCCCAUUGAAUCUCUACUGUGAUAAUAAUGGGGCAAUUGCGCAAGCAAAGGAGCCAAGGAACCACCAGAAGAACAAACACGUAAUGCGGCGAUUUCAUCUCAUUCGAGACUUUGUUAACCGGGGUGAGAUCAAGAUAUGCAAAAUACACACGGAUCUGAACAUUUCUGAUCCGUUGACAAAACCACUCCCGCAGGCUAAGCAUGAUGCGCAUGUAAGAGCUAUGGGUAUUAGGUACCUUCUAGAUUGACUCUAGUGCAAGUGGGAGACUGUUGGAGGUAUGCCCUAGAGGGAAUCAUAGAGAUGAUGAUAUUCCAUUUGUAUCCAUGAUUUGUAUAUUGUGUUCAUUGAAUAUCCAUUAAAGGCUACUUGAAUUGAUUUGCAAUUAUGUGAAUUGUAUGUGAAACUCUUUACUUGUGUGGUUAUUCUAAAGUUGUCCCUAGUCGGAGUUCAUGUGAGGACACACAUGAAUGUUAGACUAGCACAUGUAUUAGUUGAUGACUAUGUUUCACAAGUCAUGGACAUGGAGAUGUUGAACUAAUAAUGUGGACACAUGUGGAGACAUGUGUUAGAACUGACCCAACACGAGAAGUAGUUCUCUCUUUAAACAACAUAUACGCUUUGUCCUUAGACCUGAGAUUGUCGCAUGUAUUCAAGAUGUGGAUCGACCUACUUAGGGGGUAUCAAACGCUACGCCGUAAUAGGGUAGUUAUAAAGGUAGCUUUCGGGUUUGAUAAGAAGCAUGCUAUGAGACAUGGUCAAUCAAGAUGGGAUUUGCCCCUCUCUGAUUGAGAGUGAUAUCUCUGGGCCCCUCGAGUGAUCGGAUCCGAAAAUGCAUGGUCAUGCUACGUACGGUUAAGAGUUAACCUACAAAGGGAUUACGAAACACAGGAUCGAGAAAGAGCGGUCGGCUUGAAGCUAGACCAAAUAUCGUGAGGCAAAGGGAAUAGCAUGUAUAUUAUGUUGUGAUGGUUCGUCUGAUAUGAUCUUCGUGUGCGUAUAGGAGUUGGCACGUCUUGCUAGAGGCCGCUACCGUCUAUUGGGCUGAGUAGGAGUACUCGGGCCAUGUCUAUACGUAUCCGAACCCAUAGGGUCACACACUUAAGGGGCUGGAAGCCCAAUUCGGAUCUGAUCCGAGUUGGAUUAGGUUUAGAAGUACUAAUGGGCCUCGGACCCAUAGGCCCGUCAGGAACCUCUAUAAAUAAAGGGGUGGGGGCGCCCUAGGGUUUACACCUUUUUGGCGAAACACAUCGGCCGCGCCUCCCACGCCCUCGCCUGUUGCAACUCGCGGAUCUAGUAGUCCGGCUUGUGACGCUUCCUCCCUGCAUGUGUGGAUACCUUGGAGGUGUUGCGCCUGCAGCACUUGGACGAGCCGCCGACAAGCCACGACGAGCCGACAACGAGCCGCGGCAUGAGGGCGAUCUUGCUGCAUGUGGAUGAGCUGCUGAGGAGCUGCUGGACGUUGACGUGAUCGACUACGUACGACUGCGUUGAUCGACUACGUACAACUACGUUGAUCGUCUUCGCUGCAUCGACGCAAAUCUACAUCUUCCGCGCUAGUAGUGCGUCGAGUGGUAAUCCCGUGAUCCUUAUACGACAGUUCUUCCUGGUUUUACGCGGUAGAAAUUUUGAUUUGCGCUAGUGUAGCCUACCUCGUAUCCCCACACUUGGAACCUUCGGGUACCUUGAAUCAUAGAGACCUUAAGGUAUACGAAGUCCCCUUCAUUGAAAAUCAACUCUCGUCUUCUUUUAUCUGAUUAACUCUUCUGCCUAGACUGUGCUACCUUCAACUUCUCUCGUAUUUCAGCCACUCGUUCUUCUGCCUCUUUGAUAAAGGUGGGUCCCACUAGGGUGCGCUCUCCUACUUCCGACCACAUCAACGGGGUCCUGCACUUUCUCCCAUAGAGAGCCUCGAACGGUGACAUGCCUAAGCUGGCUUGGUAACUGUUGUUAUAUGAGAACUCUGCAUAGGGUAGACUCUGUUCCCAGUCCUUGCCAUAAGUAAGGACACAUGCCCUCAACAUGUCCUCCAUAAUUUGAUUCACUGUCUCUGUUUGGCCAUCGGUUUGACGGUGAUAAGCUAAACUAAAAUCCAGUUUGGUGCCCAUAGUUUUAUGCAGACUCUUCCAGAAUCUAGAGGUAAAUUGGGUCCCUCUAUCCGAAACAAUUCUGCUAGGCACACCAUGUAGCUUCACUAUGUUGUCUACAUAGAGUCGAGCUAGCUUUUUUCCACCAUAGGUGGUCCAUACAGGUAAGUAGUGGGCAACUUUAGUGUGUUGGUCCACUAUUACCCAUAUGGAGUCAUUCCCUUUUUGAGUCUUGGGCAAACCCACUACAAAAUCCAUGCCAAUCUCGUCCCACUUCCAAACUGGAAUGGGUAGUGGUUGCAGUAAGCCGGCUAGCUUCUGAUGUUCGGCCUUAACCCUUUGGCAAAUAUCGCAUUGAGCAACGAACUGGGCUAUGUCCUCCUUCAUCCCAUUCCACCAGUAUUUCUGCUUUAGGCCCAUAUACAUCUUGGUGGAUCCCGGGUGGAUGGAAUAUGCUGAUUUAUGGGCCUCGUCCAUGAUGGUUUGCCGGAAAUCUCUUUCCUUGGGCACACAAACCCUAUCCUUGUACCACAAGGUCCCUUUGACAUCCACUCUGAAGUCUGGGUCUUUACUCUCUCCGGUUUGCUUGCAAAUCCUCAUCAAGUCCUGAUUCAAACCUUGGGCCUCUCGGAUCCUUUCCUCCAAAGUGGGCUGAACACUUAGCUUACGGUUGGUACUCUGAGGGGUAAUGUGUACAUUUAAUUGGGCCAUUUCCUCUUGCAAGUGGGGGUCCUUAGGCCCGAUCCGUCCAUAGGAUUUCGGCUUAAGGCAUCCGCUACCACGUUAGCCUUACCGGGGUGGUAGUGAAUUUCCAGAUUAUAAUCCUUGACCAACUCUAACCACCUUCUUUGCCUUAAAUUCAAAUCUAGUUGGGUGAAGAUAUAUUUUAGGCUCUUGUGGUCUGUGUAAAUCUCACACUUGUUCCCAAUCAGAUAGUGUCUCCAAAUCUUGAGAGCAAGCACUACUACCGCAAAUUCCAAAUCAUGGGUGGGGUAAUUUUGUUCAUGGGGCUUAAGUUGGCGGGAAGCAUAUGCCACUACUUUCCCAUCCUGCAUCAGGAUACACCCUAACCCUUGUCGGGAAGCAUCACAAUAAAUGACAAAGUCCUGCUGGAUAUCUGGUAGGGUUAAUACUGGAGCGGUCGUCAAUCUUCUUUUCAGUUCUUGAAAGCUCCUCUCACAUGACUCUAUCCAAUUAAAUUUCUUGUCCUUCCUCAGUAGCUCUGUCAUGGGCCGGGCUAUCUUAGAGAAUCCUUCAAUGAACCUCCGAUAAUACCUAGCUAGACCGAGAAAGCUCCUGAUUUCACUAACAUUAGUGGGUUGCUGCCAGUUGGAGACGGCCUCAACCUUCUCAGGAUCAACUGCUACUCCUUCUGCCGUUAAGAUGUGACCAAGAAAUGCCACCUUCUCGAGCCAAAAUUCACAUUUACUGAAUUUAGCAUAGAGUCGGUGGGCUCUCAAUUUCUCCAACACUACCCGUAGAUGUUGCUCAUGCUCUUGGACACUCUUGGAGUAAAUGAGUAUGUCGUCGAUAAAGACCACAACAAACUUAUCUAACUCCUCCAUAAACACCUUGUUCAUGAGGUUCAUGAAAUAAGCAGGGGCAUUGGUCAGUCCAAAGGACAUCACUAUAAAUUCAAACUGGCCAUAGCGGGUAACAAAAGCUGUCUUCAGGAUGUCACUUUCCUUAAUCUUGAGCUGGUGGUAAUCUGAUCUCAAAUCUAUUUUGGAGAAAUACUUGGCUCCCUUCAACUGGUCAAAUAUGUCAUUUAUUCUGGGAAGAGGGUAUUUAUUCUUGAUGGUGACUUCAUUCAGUGCGCGAUAAUCCACGCACAUCCUCAUGCUUCAUUUCAUUCUCCAAGCUUUCAGGAUAUCUCUUCGUUAGCCUUUUGAAGAAAUUCCUUUAUUCUUAUUUCACCCGCCAAUCCUAUAAUUUUAGAGGAAAUUUUUUGGAAGCUCCAUUGCAGGAUUCAAACCUAACCAUUUCUUUCUUGUUUCCACUUUUCAAGAUUUCAAUUGAAUGAGAAUCACUCACACCUUAUAUUACUUUAUAGACACUUUGCAGAAAGCCAAGAUUUGCUUUAUCAGGUAUCAGACGGGAACUGCGAGCAAAUAAAACCUCUAUCGCAACAACCAGACUCGGUUUCAGAAAGUCGGAAAACAGGUACAUGAAAAACUUUUUUGAAUUAGUGAUUUGAUUUAUUCUGACUCGAUCUAUUAAAACAUUCAUAACCUUUAGUGAAAAAGGAAAGAUAGUUAAAGGAAGAACGGGAACUCUCAGUUAAGAAUCAUGAAAAGCAGUUGGGCCAAACCAGAUAGCUAGGUUCGAUUUUUGGGUCGGGGAGUUUUCAGUUUCUCUAGUGGGAGAAAUGGUGUUUGACACGACGAAAGGGGGCACACUGAGCAAGUACGACAAAUUGGCCCCGUGGAGCUUUCAAAAAGAAAAGCAAGGACCACUACGGGAGGUCGAACCACGUGGAUUUUCGAGAUUUAAAUAAAGCGUGUCCUAAAGACGAGUUUUCAUUUUGUCGGGCCCCAAUCCUUCUUCUUUCUUUUUUGAAUUCCGAUCGUCAUCCACAAUACUAGUAACAUGUGAUGAUGCACCCGAAUCUACUGCUCUAAGUUUAAAAAAAAUACCAGGAGACCACUACCAAAAAAAAAGGUAAAAGCACAGCCGGGCGGAAGGAUGGAGCGAGCCUAUUCCAAACAAUAGAGCUCAACAUUUCCAAAUUUUAGUAUGUACUUUGUUCGAUAAAUAGAACAAUUCCUUUCUCUUUUAUCAAAGAAGAGUAGGGAACCUCUCGCUGGUUUUUGGAAUUUGAAAUCAGGAAGUGGAUUCAAUUGAGAGCGGAUAGCAAGAUCGAAUGAAUGGAUACUCUAAGAUAGAACGAGAAAAAGCAAAUUUGUACCCCUAGUUCCCUUUUACUUAUCUGGCAUUUUGUAUUAUUCCAAUUCCUUACCUGAACUUUCCCCUUCAUUUUUGUGCUUAUCCUAGUUGUUGGUUUAGUUUAUGAAACUAAGAGCUGAGAGUCCUAACUCAGUAAAGUAUAGGAUUAAAGACAUUACCUAUUACUGCAUUAUUUGUUGCUCCGAGUCAAGAAAAGCGUCUUUCUUCUUGACAAAAUGCACUGGGGCUCCCCACGGGGAUGAGCUAGGUCUGAUAAAGCCACUCUAUUGCAGUUCGCCUAACUGUUUCUUCAGCUCUUUCAACUUAGAUGCUGCCAUUCUAUAGGGCCUCUUGGCUAUAGGGAAGGUUCCAGGGAUAAGGUCGAUUACAAACUCUAUAUCCCUAUCUGGGGGCAUUCCAGGUAGUUCUUCAGGAAAGACAUCAGGGUAUUCACUCACUACCGGGACUCCUUCUAUGGCCUUGGCUUCCAUGCUAAAAACCAUUGGGUCGGGUCCACUGCCCCGAGUGUGACAGGUCAGUUGUACACCAUCCUGAUUAACCAGACGUACUACCUUAUCAGCACAUCCUAUGUGACCAUCAUGUAGGCUUAACCAAUCCAUUCCAAGGAUCACAUCUAUCUCCUUAGACUCAAGUACUACCAAGUCUGCUAGGAAUUCUACCCCACUUAAAUUGAUCCUUACCCGGGAACAACCUAGUUGACACUGGAUGUCGGCUCCAGGCGUCCGGGUUAUUAGGGGUACCUUUAGUAGUACUGUAGGUAUGUGGUGCUUAUCCACAAAGCUUGAUGAUAUAAAUGAAUGUGAUGCUCCAGAAUCGAAGAGUAUUGUUGCCAAGAGUGAGCUGACUAAAAACUCACCGAGUACCACACCCUGAGCUUCUUGAGCCUCUUGCGCGCUGAUGUGGUUGACGCGGGCUCGUCCGAACGACUGCUGGGGCUGCCUCAUCUGCUGGCUGUUGUUGUUGUUGCUGGGGUGGUUGUUGCUACGGACGGGAACAUGGUUGGCCCCUGACACUACCACCCUUGGCCCAGUCACUGCGUUGGAGAAGGCUGAUGCAGCUGGCUUGUUGGCGUAGGGGCAGUUGGCAAUGAAAUGCCCUGGCUCACAGCAGUUGAAGCAUGCCCUGCCGUUGUUGGUGACUUGACUGGCACUGUUCUGUGGGGCCUUGACAGGGUUCUGGCUUCUGAAUGGGGCAUAGGUCUGAUGGGAACCGGAGGCUUGAGACUGGGUCCAGUACUGCAUGGGAGCUUGGGACCUAGGCAUGGGGUGACCAAAGCUCCUUGGUUUCUGGAACCUAUCCUGCUGGUGGGCCUUGCUGUCCAGGAACCGGCGCUUGUUGUCCCUCCUCUCAUCUGCUUUGGCCCUCUCAAUCAGGAUGGCCAUGUUCAUCAGAGUGUUAUAAUCGAGGUAGAUCUGAGGAGUAAGCAGGGUCCUCAUCUCUGCGCUUAAACCCUUUUUGAACAUAUCUUGCUUCUUCUCAUCCUUGUCUACUUCUUCUGGAGCAUAGCAGGCCAACUCCAUGAACUGAUAGGUGUAUUCUUCCACGGACUUGUUGCCUUGGCGCAGUUCACGGAACUCAUCCGCCUUGCGCUUCAUGGUGGUCGCAGGAAUGUGAUAGCGGCGGAACUCAGUCACGAACUCAUCCCAGGUUAUAGUGGAGGCAUCCUGGGCGGCAGUGCAGUAGUUCUCCUACCAAGCUAAGGCAGUCCCAAUGAGUUGAUGAGCACCCAGGACCACCUUGUCCCUGCUCUCACAGCCAAACGGCUCUAGCUUCCUCUGGAUGACCCGCAGUCAGUCAUCUGCGUCCAGAGGGUUGAUGGACCCGCCAAAAGUGGGUGGCUUGGUCCGGAGGAAGUCUGUCAGCUUCUCAUUCAUGCCCUGUCCGCGGGGCCUUUGGCGAGUGAUGGCAUUGGCCAAAGCUUCCAGCAGAAGGGUCUGGUUGUUCAUGACUUGUACCAAAUCAAUGACCGGCGGGGGCGGUGGCUGCUGUGCUCCCAUUUGACUUUCCCCCCUACCCUCGAGCUGAUUCACUUCUUGUUCCUCAUGGUGCACCGCUGGUGGGGGUUUCUGCCUUUCCAGCUGUCUUUCUGCACUAGGAGUGGCACGUGCCUGACUCGGGGAGGUCCUGGUGGCACGCUUGGGAGGCAUCUGCAGAUUGAGUGAUCUUUCAUGAGACUUGGAUUUGGAUAUUAAAGUGAUGUUUAGUUAAUUAAUUCGGAUUUUUGAAGAGACAAAAUCCACCUCCUGUCGACAAGCACACAAACUAACAGAUAACAAGUACAAAUGAUUUUAUUAAUUUGUCGGGGUGGUUACAACACUUGGGGUGGGGCCAAAACACACACUACAUGGCCAGUACAACAGCACAACUGGGUACAAGUCUAGACUUAGGACAGCUUCUGGAGUACAACUCUAGGUGGGGCACUCUAUUCAUGGGACGAAUCUGCACCCUGCACGGAGUGGUCUUCUGGUGGAAUAAGGAGGGCCACCACCUCGUCCCUUAGGGUCCCACCUGCGGGAGGAGGUUCUGAGGCUUGUCCAUUGGCCACCUCAGAGUCCCUUUCCGAAGGCGGUGGUGCUGGUGGGGCAUCGGGGCUCUUCCAUUUCCCGGACCCCUGGGCAACAGGGACUCCAUCCAAGACUGGAGCCUCGUCGUCCUCCACGACCCGCAUUUUCCUUCUCGCGCGGUUUGAGUGGUGGACUUCCUUCAAUGCCCGCACGUGCCGGUCCUCGGCCUCUUUGAGGGCCUUGAUGGCGAGGGCCUCAUUGCUUUGGGCGGCCGCAGCUCGAACCUCAGCUGCUGCCAAUCUCACCUGGAGCCUCCUCACCAUAACUUCUGCAUCCUCAGCUCUACGAAUCUGCUGCUUCAGAUGGGCGGUAUGCUCAUCGUAGAGUUCAUCCAAGGUGAGGAGAUAGGCAGCCAUAUGGAGCACGGUGGGGUCAUCCUCGUGCUGUCCACGUCCUUCCAAAGUCCUUACCCGGGCCAGCCAAAUCAGGCAGUUUUUCUUGAUAGGCGGGUAAAACCUCAUCGGUGUGCGACCGAUGUGCCUCUCAUAAAUCUGGCACAGGUAGCGCAGGGCUUUCCGAGCUGCCACCUGGUAAAUGUCUUUCCACCGAAAACUAGUGGCAGACACAUUCCAAGGCUGAAUGUCGGGGAAGCAGCUGCUCCUGCCCACGUAGAUGGUCAUCUCACACCGGAGAGUCCCACGGUCUUCAUACUCCCGGCUAGAGUACUCCAGACGCUCGUAAAUCCCAAGGUGGUCCAUGCAGGCAAACAGCAACCUGGAAAAACCGAGCUCCUCCAGGCAAUGGCUGUUGACCCAACCUUCUUCGGCCAUCUGGAAAGAAUCGGGGUGUAAAUCAGUAUUGCAAUUGAGCAGAGGAAGCAAUAAAUUUUGUAAAUCAUUUAAUUUGGUCAAAAAGGCUUUUCCGGUUCUAAUGGUUAUGUCCUACGGCCAACGACGGCUCUGAUACCACCUGAAGCGUUCCCACAUAAGUAGAGACUAAAUGUGAGCCAAUUAUCAAUCCCAGGAGGCUGAUAACACAUUUAUUCAACAGAUAGUUCAGAAACCAUAUAGCUCCCGAAGGAGCGGGCGGGAGAGCCACACCCAAAGUAAAACUAAAGCAAUAACAAUACAAAUCCAAGUUGCAGUCUAGCCGGACUCCGGGCUGCAAUCGGAACUAUGCGUCAGCGGAAGCAUCCUGCAAAAGGCGCCAACACCGUAGGCAGCGUUGGGUGCAGACGCAACCUCCUACUCGAAAUCCUCGGCGACGAAGUCCGGAUCCUCCUCUAAAGCAACAAAAUAGGGGUGAGUACAAAAGUACUCAACAUGUCCAACCCCAUCCACGGAGGGGGAUAUAGCAAGAUUAUGCACAGGAUACAACAAGGAUAUGGUUAAGGUUUAUUUGCAAUAAAGCUAGAUUUUGGACACAUGCAGGGGUUUAUUUCAAAGGAUUUUUGCAAGGCAUUUUCUUUAAUAACUGAAACAUUAAGUGGGGUUGAUCCUACACAAAGGAUCCAAGUUUUAUCGCUACCGGACUCCCCGUCCGCCGUAGCGCACAGCACAACUAUCGGACUCUUCCAAAAUCCAACACACGCCACAAAAACCAACCAUCUCCAAAUGCUAGUUAUGUGACCAAGCCGUAACUCGUCCAAUGCCGUGGACACGGCUACCCAGAUAGGUUUUAACUCUGCAGAGGUUGUACACUUUUCCCACAAGUAGGGUACCGCAACACGAACCACCUUAGUGCCGGUGCGGAUCCUAACAAAGCUAUUACCCACCUUAGCACAAACUGACUAGUCAACACAGAAGCACCCAAGGGGUUAACGACCCAUCCAUGAGGCUGAAACCGGGACUUAAGUCACCAAGAGCUUAAUCCUUUCCCAUGGGCUCCCGUCGCUCACCAGCACACCUAAAGCCUAGCAGUUUAGCUAGUGGGGUUUAUGCUAAGCCGUUGCCCAUACAACGGUCGAGUGGUUGCACGAUGGUUGAAUUAGGCAGGAUGACACAUCAACUCGGUCCUUAGCCAUGACAAGAUGGACAUCUCCCAACUUUUCUCAACCACUAAGGUACGAGCUCAACAACCCGGCAUUUCACACAAGAAAUGCCCAUCCAUCUCAUCCAUGCACCAUUUCUCUUUACGCCCGAAAACCCAUCUCCUCAGUUGAACACACUCACACAUUUUAUUUCCGGGAGCUCCUGCUCACGGUACUGGUCCUCGGGCUUGGGCUCACGGUCGAACUCCUCCUCAUGCUCCUCCUCGGGUACUCCAUGAUCUAUGGCACACAUAAAUGAGCACAUAAUAAAGAAAAAGGAAAAAGAUUCUACCAGUUGAGCUCCAGAUAGGAAAUGUGAACGGAAAAUAGGUAGGAAGGGUAUUUUCAUGAAAUUUGGAUAUGCCUCGGCGGAAAUAUAUGAGAGGAGGCCGUGGUCGAAUUUGGGAUCAAUUGGAGGAAGUUUGGCGCAUGAAAUGACGGGUUAAAGGGGUGUUAGGGGCUUAACACAAGGUUUAGGACUAAACUGCGGACCUAUUUGUAAUUAUUUCUGAGGGGUGGAAGGGCGUAUCCACGGAAUUUUUCAAAGAGAGGUGGGAGGGCCGGUUUGCAAAUAGGAGGAAGGGGAGGGGCAGAUCAAAAUUGAAGGGGAAAUUCCCCCUUCUUCUUCCUUGAACCGUGACAUGAAGUGGAGGAAAGGAGGGGGCCGGUGGGUGUCGGGAUACGAGGUAGGCUACACUAGCGCAAAUCAAAAUUUCUACCGCGUAAGACCAGGAAGAACUACCGUAUAAGGAUCACGGGAUUACCACUCGACGCACUACUGGUGCGGAAGAUGUAGAUUUGCGUCGAUGCAGUGAAGACGAUCAACGUAGUCGUACGUAGUCGAUCACGUCAAUGUCGAGCAGCUCCUCAGCAGCUCGUCCACGUGCAGCAAGAUCGCCCUCGUGCCGCGGCUCGUCGUCGGCUCGUCGUGGCUCGUUGGCGGCUCGUCCAAGUGCUACAGGCGCAACACCUCCAAGGUAUCCACACGUGCAGGGAGGAAGCGUCGCAAGCCGGAUUGCUAGAUCCGCGAGUGUAAACCCUAGCGUCGUGGGAGGCGCAGCAGAUGUGUUUCGUCAAAAGGUGUAAACCCUAGGGCGCCCCCACCCGUCUAUUUAUAGAGGUUCCUCAUGGGCCUCUGGGUCCGAGGCCCAUUAGUACUUCUAAACCUAAUCCAACUCGGAUCAGAUCCGAAUUGGGCUUCCAGCCCCUUAAGUGUGUGACCCUAUGAGUUCGGAUACGUAUAGACAUGGCCCGAGUACUCCUACUCGGCCCAAUAGUCGGUAGCGGCCUCUAGCAAGACGUGCCAACUCCUAUACGCACACGAAGAUCAUAUCAGACGAACCAUCACAACAUAAUAUACAUGCUAUUCCCUUUGCCUCACGAUAUUUGGUCUAGCUUCAAGCCGACCGCUCUUUCUCGAUCCUGUGAUUCGUAAUCCCUUUAUAGGUUAACUCUUAACCGUACGUAGCAUGGCCAUGCAUUUUUGGAUCCGAUCACUUGAGGGGCCUAGAGAUAUCACUCUCAAUCAGAGAGGGGCAAAUCCCAUCUUGAUUGACCAUGUCUCAUAGCAUGCUUCUUGACAAACCCGAAAGCUACCUUUAUAACUACCCUGUUACGGCGUAGCGUUUGAUACCCCCUAAGUAGGUCGAUCCACAUCUUGAAUACAUGCGACAAUCUCAGGUCUAAGGACAAAGCGUAUAUGUUGUUUAAAGAGAGAACUACUUCUCGUGUUGGGUCAGUCCUAACACAUGUCUCCACAUGUGUCCACAUUAUUAGUUCAACAUCUCCAUGUCCAUGACUUGUGAAACAUAGUCAUCAACUAAUACAUGUGCUAGUCUAACAUUCAUGUGUGUCCUCACAUGAACUCCGACUAGGGACAAGUUUAGAAUAACCACACAAGUAAAGAGUUUCACAUACAAUUCACAUAAUUGCAAAUCAAUUCAAGUAGCAUUUAAUGGAUAUUCAAUGAACACAAUAUACAAAUCAUGGAUACAAAUGGAAUAUCAUCAUCUCUAUGAUUGCCUCUAGGGCAUACCUCCAACAGUCUCCCACUUGCACUAGAGUCAAUCUAGAAGGUACCUAAUACCCAUAGCUCUUACAUGCGCAUCAUGCUUAGCCUGCGGGAGUGGUUUUGUCAACGGAUCAGAAAUGUUCAGAUCCGUGUGUAUUUUGCAUAUCUUGAUCUCACCCCGGUUAACAAAGUCUCGAAUGAGAUGAAAUCGCCGCAUUACGUGUUUGUUCUUCUGGUGGUUCCUUGGCUCCUUUGCUUGCGCAAUUGCCCUAUUAUUAUCACAGUAGAGAUUCAAUGGGCUGGACGCAUUCGGGAACACACCAAGCUCAAUGAGGAAAUUCCUUAUCCAAAUACCUUCCUUCACGGCUUUCGAAGCUGCAAUGUACUUGGCUUCUGUCGUAGAAUCGGCCACCAUCUCCUGCUUGGAACUCUUCCAACUAACAGCACCACCAUUUAGCGUGAACACAAAUCCUGAUUGUGACUUUGAAUCAUCUCUGUUGGUUUGGAAACUAGCAUCGGUGUAACAUGUUACAACGAGCUCCUCCUCACCUCCAUAGACGAGGAACAUAUCUUUAGUCCUUCUCAAGUACUUAAGAAAGUUUUUCACCGUUGUCUAGUGAUUCUCACCUGGAUCAGACUGGUGUCUCCUUGUCAUACUUAGCGCAUAUGAAACAUCUGGGUGAGUACUUAUCAUUGCAUACAUGAUAGAUCCAAUAGCCGAGGCAUAUGGCACUCUACUCAUGCGAUCCCGCUCAUCAGCAGUCGAAGGACACUGAGUCUUGCUGAGAUGUAUGCCAUGUGACAUAGGCAAGAACCCUUUCUUUGCCUCUUCCAUGCUGAACCGCUUCAACACUUUGUCAAUGUAAGUAUCUUGGCUUAAUCCUAUAAGCCUUCUCGAUCUAUCUCUAUAGAUCUUAAUGCCCAGAAUAUAUGCCGCUUCCCCUAAGUCCUUCAUCGAAAAACUAUUUUCCAGUGAAGUCUUUACGGACUCAAGCAUAGGAAUGUUAUUUCCAAUCAGCAAUAUGCCAUCCACAUAUAAGAUUAGAAAUACUACAGAGCUCCCACUAACCUUCUUGUAAACACAAGACUCUUCUUCGUUCUUGGUGAAGUCAAACCCUUUGACCACUUCAUCAAAAUGAAUGUUCCAACUCCUAGAUGCUUGCUUCAAUCCAUAAAUGGAUCUUUGAAGCUUGCAUACCUUUCCAGCAUUUUUCGGAUCGACAAAACCCUCAGGCUGUAUCAUAUACACGUCCUCAGCUAGGUUUCCAUUCAGGAAAGCUGUCUUGACAUCCAUCUGCCAUAUCUCAUAAUCGAAAUAUGCAGCUAUAGCUAGAAUAAUCCGAAUGGACUUAAGCAUCACUACGGGCGAGAAAGUCUCGUCGUAGUCAACUCCUUGAACUUGCCGAAAACCUUUUGCGACAAGUCGUGCUUUAUAGAUGUGAACAUUUCCAUCCAUGUCCUUUUUCUUCUUAUAGAUCCACUUGCACUCUAUGGCUUUAACACCAUCAGGCGGGUCAACCAAGUUCCAAACUUGAUUGUCUCCCAUGGACUCUAUUUCGGAUUGCAUGGCACUCUGCCAUUUUUCGGAGUCUGGGUCCAUCAUUGCUUCUGCAUAUGUCGCAGGCUCAUCAUUGUCCAACAAUAAUAUUUCCUGCAUUUCGCGGAGCCUUGCCGACCUUCGUGGUUGUGGCGGUGCUUCUCUUGCCAUGGGUAUCUCAACUUGUUCUGCUACGUUAGCAUCACUCAUUGAUUCUUGCCCGAUCGGCUCAUCUUGAACUUCUUCAAGAUGCACUGUCUUUCCACUCUUGAUAUGAACCCGCUAGGGUUGAUUCCCGAUCUUUCGAUGAGAGAGGCGUGGAUAACUCGAUUGGUAGAUGGAGACGACGUUCACGGCCCGACUACAGCCUUCCAAGCUGCGCCUUAGCAACCGAUACACCACCUCCAAUGGCUGCCGCGAUCUUGUGGAGCGCGUCACCCGGCCACUAGGGCACUUGUCCUGCAAGCAAUCGAAGAACAAGCAAGAACAAGUAUAACAAGCAACUAAAUUGCAAUUAUGGAGAUGAAAACUAAUCUGAACUCAUAGAGUUGGGGUUCCGAAUCGAGUAGAACGGAUGGUCUAGUCGACACACGCGUCUACAAGGAAGUAGCAAUGGCUAAACUUACAUCAAAACAAAACCCAAUCUAUUCGUGGCGGCUCUAAUACUUAUUAAUACCUAGGAGGACGACCAGGGGGGUGUUGGGGUCGUGCUCCAACCCUAGGACACGUCCCUAAUGGACCCAACUUGAUACACGGCCCAUCGGGCCAAAAUAGGGCGACGCAGCACCUGUGGACAGAAAACCUCUCGGUAGUAUUUCGAUGAUUGCGGUCGCCUCAGAACAGAUAUGGACAUGAGUCCGGAUCCAUAUGAAAAUAGACUUCAUAAGAAUUCCAAGGAGUACUUGAACGCCCAAAACGGAGUCCGGAUGAGGUCAUGGCGGUCGUUGCAAGUUGGGCCAGAACUGUAGUCCGAAUCCAGCACCAAAACGUGUUGGAUUGGAUCUCUUUCUUUCCUUGGGCCAAAAGUGACGUGGUGGCCUGGUGGAGGAUGUUAGGAAUACUUGGACUUGGCCCCCAAUCUACUUCUUUGGUCCUCCAUGCCUUCCAUGUGUGUUUAACACUAUUUUUGAUCCAUGUAUGUAUUUCUGAAAUUGACAACGAAUACACAUCAUGGUGCAGCAUCAAUUCAUCAAAUGUAUCACAUAUAAUUAUGAUAAAGAAUUGUUUCACCUCGGAGUCAAAAGAUGCCAAUAUGGUUGUAUCUGAGCAUGUGAUGUCCUCAUCAUUCUCCCCUUCUUGGCUGCAAGUCGUCCUCGACUUGCUCCAGUGGCAUUCUAAGGUGCUUGUUUUGAUGUUGGAGCACGGAGCGACGGCCAUGCUGCAUGGCCACAACCAGUAAUGCUCCCCUUCUUUGCCCUUACACUGUUGCAUAUGAGAAAAACUAGAAAAGCUUUGGAAGACAUUAUUAGUGUUAGUGCAGCCCUCUAUUUGAUCUUGGUAUUGGUGCCCCAAAGGAUAUUUCAUAUUAGAGCAAAAAUAAACUUUAUGCACCAAAUAUUCUCCUUUGCUAUCGUAUUUGCCAAUUGGAUGAAGCGAACAAUGAUUAAAACUUGGCAAACCAGAACCAAAUUGAAGUUUCUCUUUUAGACAAUUUAGAUUACACAAAACAUCAAAUUCAAUGUAACCCAAAGUAUUUAAAGAGGAUAGCAAAUUCAGUUCAUCUUGUGCACAAGUAAUAGGAUGAAAAAGCUUAGCUUCAGCACAUUUGUAUGAUUCCAAACCAAAAGUAUCACACUUAUUCACUACUUGUGGUAUAGGAGUAAAAGAAUCAUCAGCACACAAGUCCUCUUUAUCACAAGGAACAGCAAGUAAUUCAUUUUGUGACAAAGGAAAAUCAGCAAUGGGUUCCACUAUUUGAUGCUCUUCAUUAGCAUGGAGAGUGGACAAAUUUUGGAUAUAAUGGGUCACAUCAUGCUUGCAAGUAUUCACAGAUAAAAGAAUCUCCUUUUCAACAUUGAGAGCAAGGCAAAACAAUUGACCAAUAUGUAUGUAUGAUUUGCUUAGCAACAAGGUUUGAAUUUCAGAAUUGAGCCCUCUCAUGAACCUACACAUAACAUCUUCCAUGCACUCAUCUAAUCCACCAUACAUGAUACAAAUUUUAAAAUCAUGGAAGUAUUCUUUUACAGUCCUACUACCUUGCCUCAAGUUGUCUAAUUUAGCAAGCAAAUAAUCAGCAUAAUAUUCAGGAAUGAAUGCAUCUCUAAAAAGAAAUUUAAAGUCUUCCCAAGAUUCUAGAACUUUGUUGUGCCUACAAAUGUGUUUCCAUUCUAGCAAAGCAAAUCCAGUCAAAACAUUAGAGGUAAUAUAAAUCUUUUGUUUCUCGGACAAGUCAUGCUCAUCAAAUUCAGUAUCUACUUUUAGCUCCCAAUCAAUGUAAGCUUUAGGAUCAAACUUACCAUCAUAUAACGGCAAUUGUUGAAUGACAUCUUGAAUAUGAGAGUCUAGUUUCAACAGCUCAAAAAUCUCCGUAUCACCUGCCAUGAUUAGUAGAAAACAAGAAACACAAAAAUAAUAUGUAUCCUCCUGUCAACUACUAGGAUGUGUCGGUUGUAAUUCUCUCAAACUCAACUUGUAAAAACAAGCCCUUACAAGUUCUUACCAAGCCAAACAGGAGGUGACGGCAACCAACAAGUCUACAACCGUGGAGUGAAGUGUACCGGUGCCGCAGCAACAAAAAAACCUGUCAAGCUGUAGUCGAAUAUGUGGAGCUGUAGGUGGGCUUAAGCAAGGAAAUAUACUAGCACCACGUUAGUCACAAAAGCAAGCUGAAUAAUAGUUCAACGGUGGUACUGUGCUGGUCCUAGCCUAGACCGUGCUAGAGACGCGAGCCUGGACACAAAGGAAGUCACAACACACCACCGAAAAACAACAGAGAAGCACAACGAACAGCCCCUUUUCUUCCUGUUUUUUUUUUGUCUUUCUUUUCCUUUUUUUUUCUUCUGUUUUUUUUUCUUCUUUUUUUUUUCAGGGGAUCCUCAAAUCUGAUUAUAUGAACAAAAGGACCUCACAAGAGUCACACACCACACAAACUUUUUCCGAAAGGAUAGAAAUCAGAUUUGGACUCAAGACAGCAACAGGGCAGCUGUCAAUUCGGACUCCAAACCGAUUCCAACUUGAACUCAGCACCACGUGGGAUUUGAUCUUAAACAAACUCGGAGUAGGACUCAGACUUGAACACAAACAUGUAUUCAGAUUCAGCCAAUACAAGGUUUUAUAUGGUAGCACACGGCUGUGACUGGAACGUGACAAGAACUCAAAACUCUAAAGGACUAAAACUAAGACCAGCAACUCGACACAACCGAUGCAACCAAAAACUCAACAAGCCCUAACUAAGCAGUGCUAGCAAAGGCUCAAAGGGUUUAUAGGAUUGCGAGUAAACUAAUCUACUAAUUUUUUGGCUUUUUCUGGACUAUAGGAAAUUAAAAACAGCAAAGAACUAGAAGUCUCUCACCGAUAAACCUUGCUCUGAUUACCAACUGAUAUGAACCCGCUAGGGUUGAUUCCCGAUCUUUCGAUGAGAGGCGUGGGAUAACUCGAUUGGUGGAUGGAGACGACGUUCACGGCCCGACUACAGCCUUCCAAGCUGCGCCUUAGCAACCGAUACACCACCUCCAAUGGCUGCCGCGAUCUUGUGGAGCGCGUCACCCGGCCACUAGGGCACUCGUCCUGCAAGCAAUCGAAGAACAAGCAAGAACAAGUAUAACAAGCAACUCAAUUGCACAUAUAGAGAUGGAAACCAAUCUGAACUCACAAAGUUGGGGUUCCGAAUCGAGUAGAACGGAUGGUCUAGUCGACACACGCGUCUACAAGGAAGUAGCAAUGGCUAAACUUACAUCAAAACAAAACCCAAUCUGUUCGUGGCGGCUCUAAUACUUAUUAAUACCUAGGAGGACGACCAGGGGGGUGUUGGGGUCGUGCUCCAACCCUAGGACACGUCCCUAAUGGACCCAACUUGAUACACGGCCCAUCGGGCCAAAAUAGGGCGACGCAGCACCUGUGGACAGAAAACCUCUCGGUAGUAUUUCGAUGAUUGCGGUCGCCUCAGAACAGAUAUGGACAUGAGUCCGGAUCCAUAUGAAAAUAGACUUCAUAAGGAUUCCAAGGAGUACUUGAACGCCCAAAACGGAGUCCGGAUGAGGUCAUGGCGGUCGUUGCAAGUUGGGCCAGAACUGUAGUCCGAAUCCAGCACCAAAACGUGUUGGAUUGGAUCUCUUUCUUUCCUUGGGCCAAAAGUGACGUGGUGGCCUGGUAGAGGAUGUUAGGAAUACUUGGACUUGGCCCCCAAUCUACUUCUUUGGUCCUCCAUGCCUUCCAUGUGUGUUUAACACUAUUUUUGAUCCAUGUAUGUAUUUCUGAAAUUGACAACGAAUACACAUCAUGGUGCAGCAUCAAUUCAUCAAAUGUAUCACAUAUAAUUAUGAUAAAGAAUUGUUUCACCUCGGAGUCAAAAGAUGCCAAUAUGGUUGUAUCUGAGCAUGUGAUGUCCUCAUCAACUCUUUUCUCCUUUGAGAAACUCUUUCUCUAGGAAAACCCCGUUCCGAGCGACAAACACUUUGCCUUCUAAUCGGUUGUAGAAAUAAUAUCCCAAAGUUUCCUUUGGAUAUCCCACGAAAAUGCACUUAUCCGACUUGGGUGUGAUCUUGUCUGACUGAAGUCGCUUGACAAACACUUCACAUCCCCAAAUCUUUAGAAAAGACAAACUAGGAACCUUUCCAGUCAAUAUCUCAUAUGGUGUCUUAACUACGGAUUUAGAUGGUACCCUAUUAAGUGUGAAAGCUGCUGUUUCUAGAGCGUAUCCCCAAAAUGACAAUGGUAGGUCCGACUGGCUCAUCAUUGAUCGAACCAUGUCUAACAAAGUUUGAUUACAUCGCUCAAAUACACCGUUUCUCUGAGGUGUUCCAGGUGGCAUAAGUUGUGGAACAAUUCUGCAACUCUUUAGAUGAUUGCUAAACUCGUGGCUCAAAUACUCGCCUCCACGAUCAGAUCGUAAGGCCUUAAUUUUCUUGCCACGCUGAUUUUCAACUUCAUUCUGAAAUUCCUUGAACUUUUCAAAGGUUUCAAACUUGUGCCUCAUAAAGUAGACAUAGCCAUAUCUACUAAAAUCAUCAGUGAAAGUUAUGAAGUAUUGGAAUCCUCCUCUAGCCGUCGUGCUCAUUGGUCCGCAUACAUCACUAUGUACGAGUUCCAACAAGUCUACUACUCUCUCAGGAAAUCCUGUGAAAGGCGUCUUGGUCAUCUUGCCUAACAAGCAAGCCUCACAUGUCUCGCAUGAUUCAAAAUCAAACAAAGUUAGAAGUCCAUCAGAAUGGAGCUUCUUCAUGCGCUUUUCACUUAUAUGACCCAAACGACAAUGCCACAAGUAGGUAGGACUCAAAUCAUUAGGCCGAGGCCUUUUAGCACUUACGUUACAGACAGGUGAACCAUCAAGAUUUAAAACAAAUAAUCCAUUCACAAUGGGUGCAAAAGCCAUAAACAUAUCAUUCUUAGAGAUCACACAACCAUUGUUUUCACUCGCAAAUGAAUAACCAUCCUUCAUCAAGCAUAAAGGAGACAAAAUGUUUCGACUAAAACUAGGAACGAAAUAACAAUUAUUCAACUCCAUAAUAAAUCCUGACGGGAGGUGGAGUUGCAUCGUCCCGACGGUCAAUGCAGCAACUCUUGCAUUAUUGCCCACGCGGAAAUCAACUUCUCCUCUUUCCACGCUUCUACUUCUUAUCAUUCCCUGCAUCGAAUUGCAAAUAUGAGCAACCGAUCCGGUAUCAAAUACCCAAGAAUUAAUAAUUGUAUCAGCAAGAAAAAUAUUGUCUAUAACAUUAACAACAAGCGUACCUGAGGUAGAAGUACUCUUACUUCCGCCAUUCUUCAACGAAGCUAGGUACUGCUUGCAGUUUUUCUUCCAGUGACCAAGUUCAUGAUAGUAAAAGCACUCUUUGUCUGGAGCAGGUCCAGGUCCAGCUUUAACCUUGGGUGCUGGGUUUGGCUUGGACGUUCCAGCCUUGCCCUUCUUCUUCCAAGAAUUGCCCUUCUUCUUAAAGCUAGGCUUGUUCUGUAUAGCCAUCACAUGGCUGGUACUAGCGCUUUUCUUGAUGUCAGCCUCUGCUGUUUUAAGCAUGCCACAUAGCUCAUUCAGACCCUUCUCCAUCCCAUGCAUAUGGUAGUUCGAGAUGAAGUUCCCAUAGCUAGGCGGAAGAGAUGAAAGAAUGAAAUCAGUGGCCAACUCUUGGCCCAGUGGGAAGCCCAACUUCUCCAACCAUUGAGUGUAACCAACCAUCUUGAUUACGUGUGGUCCUACUACUGCGCCUUCUGCUAGCUUGCUCUCAACAAAGGCCUUAGACACAUUGAACCUUUCAGUCCUGACCUGUGUUUGGAACAUGUCUCUAAGCGCCAUGAUCAUAUCGCGUGCCUCAUGGUUUGUUUCAAACUGCAUCUGCAGCUCGGGUUCCAUGCAAGCAAGCAUAAGGCAGCUUACUUCGAGGUUAGCAUCACAUGCUUUCUUGUAAGCAUUCUUAGCAGCAGCGGGUGCAUCAUCAGCAGGUUCUUCUGGUAGUGGGUUGUCUAGAACAUCUUCCUUUUUCUCAACCUUGAGAACAAUUCUCAGGUUACGGAUCCAAUCCGAGUAAUUUGUUCCAUUCAACUUGUCCUUCUCAAGGACCGAACGUAAAGCAAACGGUAUAGUGCUGCUAGGUGCCAUUUAAUCUACAACAAAGUAAUGCAAAAUACACUAAGACAAACGUAUCCAUGAUAGAGUAAAUCACAUUAAACUAUUUUAAUAGAAUCUACUCCCACUAAAAUCAAUAUCCCUCUAUUGAAACUUAGUGAUUCAGGAUCCACAACUAACAAGUCUACUAGUGAGCUUUAGCAUCACCGCUAGCAAACAAGGUAGAUCGGUUAGCAACUUUUGCUAAUCAUAUCACAUAUGACUCCUGUUGUUGGGUGACAUCUCUAUGUCUCGGCGCCCAACCUUUAUGCCCCAAGGUCCUUAACCGUUAAGAUAACCUUGUUAAGCAAACCAACCCUUAUGCGUGUAAGUGUCCGACACAAACCCGUCUAGUCAAGGAAAACUAGUGGUACCCUAAUUUCAUAGACCCACCACUAAUUGUACAAGACAUGGGACGGUGCAAGUUUUAGUUGGGAGGGCAUACUAACUUAAACUUUGUGAGGGAUCGUUCUACUUCUAACAUCACAGCAUGCAGAAAGUAAAACAUAAACAGAAUAGCAUUCACACAGUUGUGACACAGUAUGGCCCGUUUUCAUAUGGUGAUCUCCAUCUCCAUAGAACGUGUUCACCAUGGUGAUCUCCAUCUCCAUGUUCCAUGUGCGCCAUCCUCCUGGUGAUGAGUCCUCCAAGAACUAGAACAUGCUAUUACACCUAAUAGCUAGUCAAGAAGCUAGUAAUGAAGAUUACAUAGUUGCUUGGAUCAUCACAGAUUGGUAUGCAGACCAUUAAAUACAAUAAAGUGACAACACAUAUGGCUCCUGCCAUGUUGCCGUACGUGCGACACGUAGGUCACGAAUGAGUUACACACAUGCAUCGCAUACACAAAGGGCCAUACUGAUCACAAGAUACAUACAUCCUGCAAAACAGAGUUAAGCAUCCUAACGUUCCAAACUUCGAAUGCCCGAAACUCUAUCUUCCAAGCCGAAUUUGGGAAAUCUAAUUUCGCCGAAAACAGCAUAGCAGUUGAAUUUCAUGUGUAACUAUUUCUGUAGAUCAAUUUUCAUAUAAAAUUCGCCCCGAUCCGAGAUCGUACCGAAAAGUUACGGCUGAUUUACCGAAGCAUACGCAUACGGCAAAAAUCCCGACCCCAGUAGUAGAUCCCAUCUACUUUUGCACAUCUAAUGCGCCUGGCGUAUGACCCUGGAUUUCGAUUCGACCAAUCAUAUUGAUCUUCGCUCACUGCAACUGGAAUUACGUGUAUCACUUAACUCCGAUGGCGGAAACCGACCGGUAGGAGUAUGUCGUUACACUACCAUUGCAGCAAGAACAUGAAACCAGGACAUAGAUCAAACUGAAAACUCGCAUAUCUCCAUAUGCACACAUCCUGAUUCCAAAACUAAACAACUACGGCUCAUGAUACCACUGUUGGGAUACGAGGUAAGCUACACUAGCGCAAAUCAAAAUUUCUACCGCAUAAAAACAGGAAGAACUGCCGUAUAAGGAUCACGCGAUUACCACUCGACGCACUACUGGUGCGGAAGAUGUAGAUUUGCGUCGAUGUAGUCAAGACGAUCAACGUAGUCGUACGUAGUCAAUCACGUCAACGUCCAGCAGCUCCUCAGCAGCUCGUCCACGUGCAGCAAGAUCGCCCUCGUGCUACGGCUCGUCGUCAGCUCGUCGUGGCUCGUCGGUGGCUCAUCGUGGCUCGUCGGCGGCUCAUCCAAGUGCUGCAGGCGCAACACCUCCAAGGUAUCCACACGUGCAGGGAGGGCGUGGGAGGCGUGGUAGAUGUGUUUCGCCAAAAGGUGUAAACUCUAGGGCGCCCCCACCCCUCUAUUUAUAGAGGUUCCUCAUGGGCCUCUGGGUCCGAGGCCCAUUAGUACUUCUAAACCUAAUCCAACUCGAAUCAGAUCCGAAUUGGGCUUCCAGCCUCUUAAGUGUGUGACCCUAUGGGUUCGGAUACGUAUAGACAUGGCCCGAGUACUCCUACUCGGCCCAAUAGUCGGUAGCGGCCUCUAGCAAGACGUGCCAACUCCUAUACGCACACGAAGAUCAUAUCAGAUGAACCAUCACAACAUAAUAUACAUGCUAUUCCCUUUGCCUCACGAUAUUUGGUCUAGCUUCAAGCCGACCGCUCUUUCUCGAUCCUGUGAUUCGUAAUCCCUUUGUAGGUUAACUCUUAACCGUACGUAGCAUAGCCAUGCAUUUUUGGAUCCGAUCACUCGAGGGGCUCAGAGAUAUCACUCUCAAUCAGAGAGGGGCAAAUCCCAUCUUGAUUGACCAUGUCUCAUAGUACUUCUAAACCUAAUCCAACUCGAAUCAGAUCCGAAUUGGGCUUCCAGCCUCUUAAGUGUGUGACCCUAUGGGUUCGGAUACGUAUAGACAUGGCCCGAGUACUCCUACUCGGCCCAAUAGUCGGUAGCGGCCUCUAGCAAGACGUGCCAACUCCUAUACGCACACGAAGAUCAUAUCAGAUGAACCAUCACAACAUAAUAUACAUGCUAUUCCCUUUGCCUCACGAUAUUUGGUCUAGCUUCAAGCCGACCGCUCUUUCUCGAUCCUGUGAUUCGUAAUCCCUUUGUAGGUUAACUCUUAACCGUACGUAGCAUAGCCAUGCAUUUUUGGAUCCGAUCACUCGAGGGGCUCAGAGAUAUCACUCUCAAUCAGAGAGGGGCAAAUCCCAUCUUGAUUGACCAUGUCUCAUAGCAUGCUUCUUGACAAACCCGAAAGCUACCUUUAUAACUACCCUGUUACGGCCUAGCGUUUGAUAGCCCCUAAGUAGGUCGAUCCACAUCUUGAAUACAUGCAACAAUCUCAGGUCUAAGGACAAAGCGUAUAUGUUGUUUAAAGAGAGAACUACUUCUCGUGUUGGGUCAGUCCUAACACAUGUCUCCCCAUGUGUCCACAUUAUUAGUUCAACAUCUCCAUGUCCAUGACUUGUGAAACAUAGUCAUCAACUAAUACAUGUGCUAGUCUAACAUUCAUGUGUGUCCUCACAUGAACUUCGACUAGGGACAACUUUAGAAUAACCACACAAGUAAAGAGUUUCACAUACAAUUCACAUAAUUGCAAAUCAAUUCAAGUAGCCUUUAAUGGAUAUUCAAUGAACACAAUAUACAAAUCAUGGAUACAAAUGGAAUAUCAUCAUCUCUAUGAUUGCCUCUAGGGCAUACCUCCAACAGUGGGGGGCCGGCGAGCCGGGCCUCGCCGGCGGUGAGCCGUGGGGCGGAGGAGGUGGAGGAGGUAGAGGGGGUCCCAUUUUUACCCCUUACCUUGGGGAGUUGGAGAUGGGAGGAGGGGU